GAUGAACGCUGGCGGCGUGCCUAAUACAUGCAAGUCGAGCGAACAGACGAGGAGCUUGCUCCUCUGACGUUAGCGGCGGACGGGUGAGUAACACGUGGAUAACCUACCUAUAAGACUGGGAUAACUUCGGGAAACCGGAGCUAAUACCGGAUAAUAUAUUGAACCGCAUGGUUCAAUAGUGAAAGACGGUUUUGCUGUCACUUAUAGAUGGAUCCGCGCCGCAUUAGCUAGUUGGUAAGGUAACGGCUUACCAAGGCGACGAUGCGUAGCCGACCUGAGAGGGUGAUCGGCCACACUGGAACUUAGACACCGUCCAAACUCCUACGGGAGGCAGCAGUAAGGAAUCUUCCGCAAUGGGCGAAAGCCUGACGGAGCAACGCCGCGUUAGUGAUGAAGGUCUUCGGAUCGUAAAACUCUGUUAUUAGGGAAGAACAAAUGUGUAAGUAACUAUUCACGUCUUGACGGUACCUAAUCAGAAAGCCACGGCUAACUACGUG
rnacentral:rRNA from 1 species